CGGAUUGUAGGCUGAAACUACGCCUACAUGAAGCUGGAGUUGCUAGUAAUCGCGAAUCAGCAUGUCGCGGUGAAUACGUUCCCGGGCCUUGUACACACCGCCCGUCACACCAUGAGAGUUGGCAAUACCCAACGUACGUGAUCUAACCCGCAAGGGAGGAAGCGUCCUAAGGUAGGGUCAGCGAUUGGGGUGAAGUCGUAACAAGGUACC
rnacentral:rRNA from 1 species